rnacentral:rRNA from 1 species
CCUACGGGGGGUUGCAGUGGGGAAUAUUGGACAAUGGGCGAAAGCCUGAUCCAGCCAUGCCGCGUGUGUGAAGAAGGCCUUCGGGUUGUAAAGCACUUUCAGUGGGGAAGAAAGCCUUGGGCCUAAUACCCUCGAGGAAGGACAUCACCCACAGAAGAAGCACCGGCUAACUCCGUGCCAGCAGCCGCGGUAAUACGGAGGGUGCGAGCGUUAAUCGGAAUUACUGGGCGUAAAGCGCGCGUAGGCGGUCUGAUAAGCCGGUUGUGAAAGCCCCGGGCUCAACCUGGGAACGGCAUCCGGAACUGUCAGGCUAGAGUGCAGGAGAGGAAGGUAGAAUUCCCGGUGUAGCGGUGAAAUGCGUAGAGAUCGGGAGGAAUACCAGUGGCGAAGGCGGCCUUCUGGACUGACACUGACGCUGAGGUGCGAAAGCGUGGGUAGCAAACAGGAUUAGAUACCCGAGUAGUC